UUGACAUGUCUAGAAGUUACCAGAGAUGGCUUCGUGCUCGAAAGAGAACUAGAACACAGGUGCUGCAUGGCCGUCGUCAGCUCGUGUCGUGAGAUGUUGGGUUAAGUCCCGCAACGAGCGCAACCCUUGUCAUUAGUUGCUACGUAAGGGCACUCUAAUGAGACUGCCGGUGACAAACCGUAGUAAGGUGGGGAUGACGUCAGGUCAUCAUGGCCCUUAUGGGUAGGGCUACACACGUCAUACAAUGGCCGGUACAGAGGGCUGCCAACCCGCGAGGGGGAGCCAAUCCCAGAAAACCGGUCGUAGUCCGGAUCGCAGUCUGCAACUCGACUGCGUGAAGUCGGAAUCGCUAGUAAUCGCGGAUCAGCUUGCCGCGGUGAAUACGUUUCCGGGCCUUGUACACACCGCCCGUCACACCAUGCGAGCGGGUUCUGCAAGAAGUAGUUAGCCUAAUCGCAAGGGGGGCGAUUACCACGCCA
rnacentral:rRNA from 1 species